GCCGGGGAACUCUUGGAUUUGAGCAUUCCGAACCAGGUCAGGACAGGAAUGUAGCAGCCUUAAGGACACUGUUUGAUGCCAGGAGCACUCUCCGGCUUU
rnacentral:SRP_RNA from 2 species